rnacentral:misc_RNA from 1 species
CCAGAGGAACAAAAAUACGGUCAUAUAUUGGAACGAAGAGAACAAUGGUUAAGGCGAUAAAAGUUUGAAGUGAAGCAGCUGGAAUUUGAAACCCUGGGAAGAUUGUUCUGUCCAUUGUAAUUCCUUGCUUUGUGAAUAAAGUUGAGGCUUGUGCAUACACAAUUGCAUAAGUCAAGUUUGUAACCCAUAUUGGAAUAAGCCUCAACAAUGCCUUGGCUUCUUCCACAUCCCUCACAUUGCACACCUCUUGAUCUUCCAUUAAACCAUUAGGCUCUAGCAGCAUUUUGUUGAGGAACUUGAUUUGCUCAGAACUUUGAUCACACAAGUAAGCUUCCUCCUCUG